GUUGGCACAGAUUACCUUGGAAGAACAUUUCCUGUGUGUAGCUGUAGUCUCUGAAGUUGUUUUUGAGGACAAGGACAUUUAGACUUUUGCGAGAAGGAUGUGGAACUGUCCCUCUGACUCCAUGGACGUGUGUAAAGGAACGAAUGAAUGUGCGAAUGCCUCCAUCUUGUCUCCCUGUUCCCUCUCUCUGUGCGUGCUGGAGAAGGCACCUCUCACCCCAGCCCACUUCAGGUGUGCUGGUUGCCUCCGCUGACGCUGGGGCUGCCCCUUUGUGGGGCGAGCACAACGGUCCCAGCGCCACCUAGCGGCCAGGGAGCCUGGGAGUUGCGCGUCUCGUUUCCCAGUCCAUGGGAUCCGCGGACUACGCCACCUCGCAGAGUUCCGACGCUCUGGCCACUGCCUCCGUCUGUUUUGUUCUCUCCGGUCCAGAGAGUGCGGAGACUUCCGGGGAGCGAACGUGUACGGGUUUCCAGAGUAACCCCGACAACAGGCAGUGAGAUGGCAGCUCUGAGCAGCUUGCUCUAGAACCAACUGUGCGUCCUCCACUUGGACCAAUACCAAUGGGAGAAGCUGGCCAAGCUCUGAGAAGCCGUGCACACCCAAGGAGCAGAGAUGCCAUGGCUUUUUGGUGGUAUUGGCAGGAUGAUACCAGAGGCUAAAUGAUAAGAGCUGAAUGAAUUCUCCAGAUGCCAGAAUGCCAGAAGGAUUGGGGACCUGGAGAGGAGAGAGGAGGAGAGUGGAGGAUGCAGGGCCUCCUCUCUCCAUAGAAGCAAAGAAUAGCAGUGGCCAGAGAGGCUUUGGGAAAGAUCUCCACUCUAUCAAUCAAUGUGGAAGCAAUAUAAGAAAUCACAGAAGGCAAAACCUGG
rnacentral:lncRNA from 1 species